ensembl:miRNA Mir431 microRNA 431
CGUCCUGCGAGGUGUCUUGCAGGCCGUCAUGCAGGCCACACUGACGGUAACUUUGCAGGUCGUCUUGCAGGGCCUCUCGCAAGACGACAUC